AAUUAAAGCUAGUUUAAUAAAAACAAUUGACUUCGACUCAAUCAACUAUGGUUAAAAUCCAUAGCUUUUU
rnacentral:tRNA from 1 species